CAUUGACGUGUAUUUCUUUGCAAUUGAGUAAACAACUGCAUUUAAAACCUUUGUUUACAAGAUUGCUACACUUCUGAAAUGAUUUGGUUGCUGACUUCAA